UAAUGGCCUCAUUAUUAUGUUAACCAGAAGGCUGAGGUUUCUUAAAAGGGCACCUCCCUUUCCUGGGUUUGUUUCACCCAACUCCCUACACUCAGCUGAGCACCCGUCUCUGGAGGGCAGGCGACCCACUGGAUCUUAAACCAGCUUGUGGCCUCUGGACAAAAUGUACUCGAAUUAAAGGAAGGAAUGUAACUCCAAAGAAAGAAAAGUCAGCUCCAGGUUUAUCCCCUGCAGCUUAGCUGGCUGUUUAUGUCUCUACAAAGCAUUCACCCCAGAAAGGAAUGUGUACAGCUGGAGGCAUCGCAGAAAACAACACACCCCAAUGUCAGGGCUCCUGCACCCCGCCCUCAGGGCAGCCAGGCCAAGAACAGGAGUUGAUUCUUGACGGGAAAGCUCCAAAUGAGACCCGACCUUGAAGGUUCUGCCCUGGAGCGCUGGAGGCUGGA